rnacentral:rRNA from 1 species
CCUACGGGAGGCAGCAGUGAGGAAUAUUGGUCAAUGGCCGGAAGGCUGAACCAGCCAAGCCGCGUGAAGGUCAGUGCCCUAUGGGCGUUAAACUUCUUUUGUGCGGGAGCAAUAAUGGUCACGUGUGGCCAGACGAGAGUACCGUACGAAUAAGCAUCGGCUAACUCCGUGCCAGCAGCCGCGGUAAUACGGGGGAUGCAAGCGUUAUCCGGAGUUAUUGGGUUUAAAGGGUGCGUAGGCUGGGAUGUAAGUCAGGGGGGAAAUGCCCCCGCUCAACGGGGUGAAGUGCCAUUGAUACUGGCUUGCUGGAAUGCGGAUGCCGUAGGAGGAAUGUGUGGUGUAGCGGUGAAAUGCAUAGAUAUCACACAGAACACCGAUUGCGAAGGCAUCUCACGAAUCCGCGAUUGACGCUGAUGCACGAAAGCGUGGGUAUCAAACAGGAUUAGAUACCCGAGUAGUC